AAGACGUCAAAGAAGCCAAGGUCAUCCACUGCAUCUGGGCCAUUGCCAGUAGUCUUGACUUUUAUCCCGCCACUGGCCUUCACUGACUCUAGAAGGGAGAGAGGCUCAUGACUUUACACAACUCUGCCUCCCUUAAAUCCAAUUCACCGGCAAGUCAAGACAUCGCCCCAUGAUGUCAUUGGCCCUCUUUGAAAAUGAAGGACAAACAACAAUGCACCACUGCUCCUCAUGUGCAUAUAGCAGUUCACAGUUUCCAAGGUGCUUUCACAAAUAUUAUUUUAUUUAGUCUCUAGCUUCAUUCCAAUGUCCCAACACUCCACCUUCACGCUACCUGACAGCUCAGGCUCAUCCAGGUCUGGCUCAUGCCACGGCCAGUCGGUCCUGGCACCUCCCUCGGGCAUUCAUCCCCCUGUCCCAAAGCAGCUGUCAGAAGUGAGUCACUGAAAGGUACUAGUCAGAAAUGCUUCUUUAAAAGGACAGAUCUGACAUUGGGAUUUCUAGUGUAAUGUCUGGCAAUUUUACUGAUCAAAAGGGAACAGUGAGACUCACAUUUAUGAAAUCCAUUGAGGGAGCAGCUGGAAGAGACGCCAAUCAUAGCCAGGGCAAAGACUGGCAUCAGUGCCUUAUUUCCCAACUGUUCAUUUGCAUUUGUUCACAAAGAAAGCUUUAGAAUUAAUAAGUGGAGAACCCUGAAAUCCAAAACUGUUUUGUGGUUAUUAUGAACGCCCAUUGUCUGCUUAUGGCUUAGCCAGAAGAAAUGAUGAUUUGGUAAUACACUGAUUCUUCACUGAGAGGACUCAGCCCUGAACCAAGAUGGGUUGGUCUCAGAGCACUGAGGAAGAGAAGCACUACCUCUGUGAACUGCCCCCAAAAGAGCUUUUUUGAUCUGCAGAACCACACUGGGAGAUAGAAAAGACAACUUCCCCUCUGUGAAGGGUUGGCAGGCAGGUGGCCAGAGCGUGCUGGUUUUGUGCAGCUGAAGGUGAUCCUUGGGCCUCCCCAGAAGAAGCCAGGUCCCGGGCUUGCCAGAAGGAGGCGGCAAGGAGCCAUAGACGAGCUAGUCAAGGGUGGCCAACAUGCAGCACUUAUUAUUUACCAAGCAUUGUGAAAAGCACUGGGGUGACAAAGAAAGGCAAAAUCAGUGCUCACCCUGAAGGAACUCGUAUUCUAAGAGUUACGGCACAUGAAAAUUGCUCAGUGUUAGAGGAAGAUUGGAGGUAAUGCUAGGGGUAUAUCUGUGAAUGACUGUGAUAUGAAAACAAAAAGGAUUAAUCAACGAUUAAAAUAAAGCAAGAAAUGUGCCCAAUAAAGUAAAGGAGCAGUCACAAAAAGGAGAGGAAAGGGAAGAAAUCCCUACAAGGAAAACUUCUAAGAAAAAUUAAGAGACACUGAAGAAAUGAAUUUAAAAAAAAGCCCUACUAAAAUGAGUAAGUUGUAUGGAGUAAAAGGAAGCCAAAAGAAAUCUUUGGGAAAAAGAACCAUACUGUGAUAAUAACUAGAUCCCUUCUCCCCAAAUGAGGAUGAAAUGACUGCAAGAACCCCCAGAGUGGAUGAAAAACUUAAUAAAAAACUAAAGGAGGCUAAAAGGAGAGAAACCAGACCUCUUAAAGAAUUAAAAAAGAUGGACAGGAGAAUUGGUGAUAUAGAGCAAAUGGUGGGAAACUCAAUAACAUAGGAAUACUCUGAAAAAGUAGCAAAUUAGAAGACUAUCUGAGAUCUUAACAAAACCAAAGCAAUAGAAAAAGACUAUUUGGGAACCAUUAUUCUCUCAUAAAAACAUGAUGAAAUGAGGAGUCUGAAUGACAUAUUUUGCUUUAAACUAUUGGAAGAGAACAAAAUGUGAAUUGAUGAAUCCAUAGGAUACUCAGAAAAGAACUCAAUUUUAACUCAACUAGUUUACAAAAUCACAGAUUUAGAGCUGGAAAGGACCUCAGAUAUCAACAAUUAUUCUCAUUUUAAAGAUAAGGAAACUGAA